AACUGUAGGUUUAUCCAGGAAACUCGCAGUAAACACAAGACAAAACUCAGAGGGUUCUUCCCAUCGAGAUGGAUUUCACUCCAGCAACAAAUAAACGGUUGAAGGUCUUAAUUAUUUCCCCCAUCAUUUGCAUAAUUACAGUGCUUAUUCUCCAGCAAAGGACAGUAUAGAAAUUGUAAAUUGUAGUGGAUGGGGCGAAAGUCACAUCUAAUGACAAACACGUCCCCUGCAAACUCCUGGCACGGCUGGAGCUUCAAAGGGAUCGCAAAAGCCAACGGCGGGCGAAAAAUUAGAGUUUUGCCCCCAAAUCACAUGGAAUUACAGUGGAGGGUGCAUGCACUGCAUCUCCACACAAAAAGCCCAGAGGAAGCAGCCAUUUCUAUUGGUUUUAUCAAACCAACCAAGCAAUUUAAAUCUUUUGUUCAGGAGAGUUCUACUUCAUUGAUUAACAAAAGCAGGGAUAUAAUUUUUUUUGUUCAGCCUUUUUCAAAAGCCUGAAAUGUCAAGCCUUUUAAAGCAGAUUAUUCUGCCUGUGUGCAGUGAAUGCAGCCUGAGUAACCUUUUGUCUACAAUUAAAUAUUCCAGCAUAAAUAUAAAAGAAAAUCAGAGAUGGGGAAGAUUGACUCGAGAGAGAUUGGCGAGAGAGAGGAAGCUGCUGAGAAUGAGAGGAAGAAAUGUAUCGCCCCAUCUCUCCGGCCGCAGGCUUCCUUUAGGCAUCUCAAGAUUUUUUUCUACUCAAGCAUGGCGGUGAUAAUUGGAUUGUGUGGACACCUGUAUGAGUGCAGUAUUUCCAGGGGAUUAGAGAACGGGAUGGCUUUUGCAGGUUCUGUCCAGACCCGUGGACUGAGUUCACCUGACUGUUGUCUCGCGAUGGACCAGAUCUGCACAUUUGGGGACGUCGGUGUCAGCACACUUGAAGCAUCAACUUUGACCUCUCAGUAAAUGCAUACUUUAGAGUCAUGCUAAAAUGGUUGUGCAUAUGGAAUUUACUAAUGCUUAUGACUUAUUUCACCAAAAUAAACUCCAAAUCUAUAUUUCUAAUAACAAUAUUUAAUACAAGAAUAGUAAUUUCUGUAAUAUGGUACUGUUCUGUGUUAAUACAUCAUGUUUGGAGAUAGCUUUAUUUUGUUUCUGAGAUAGAUUUAAUUAAUUGUAUAUGUUUAUAAAAAAAAAAAGAAUAAUAAAAAAAAGAAAGAUUCAUGCAAAUCGAAGAAAAAAAAACUUUUAUAGAACAAAUUUGAAGAUACAGAAGCUUUUCACUACAUAUUUUGCUACAACAAAGAUAUUUAUAUAGGGAUUCAAAUGAAUCAAUGAAUUGUUUAUUUGAAUUGAUUUAUUUGGAAUAAAGCAACCAAACAAACUGAUUCACUAAAAUCAAUCAAAUUUUUGUAAUCCAGUUUAGGAGUAUUUGAUUUUCUCAUUCUGCUAUGAAGCCUUUUGUGUAAAAUUAUGUGAUGAAUGGUUGAAGCAUUAGUUGUUAAUGUGUUAGUAAUGCCCAUUUGGAAAAUUAAUCGCUGUAUAUCAGUGUUAAAAAACAACAAAAUAUUAAUGGUCAGUACAUUGUUUUGUCUAUUCAAAACUUCGGCUUGAAACAAUAUUGAAACAAUAUUUUUUCUUAUUUGUCUUCAUUUGAAUUAAAUUCAUGUUACAGAAAUAUUGAUAUAUGCAAUUAUUUAUUAGAUAGUAAGUAAUUCAAUUAAAAUCCAUUAUUUUGCUUUGUUACUUUGCAUUAUUUUUAAAAUCUUUGUAUAUAUGAUGGUUUUUACAAGGUUUUGGAAAACUUGAACUGUUUAAAUGUAAUGCCAUGUAAUGUCAUGUGGUAUGACUAUUAAGUAAAAUGUAUUAUAUUUGUAUUAGCCCAUCCAAAUACAUGUGAGUGUACACAUCUUUAUUUUACUUCUACUUUUCGAGGUAAGCCUUUUGUUUGUUUGUUUGUUUGUUUGUUUGUUUUAACAAAUGUCAUGAACUAUAAAAUCCUAAAUGCCAUUACAUUUUUGGGAAUCAUACUUCAUGACAUUUAAGAACCUCAACUACACUGUUAAAAAUCGCUGUAAAAAAACGGCCAAAUUUCGACAGUAAAAUACUGUUUUUCAUUUAAACAGUGCAUUCUGGGUAAUAUUAAUCGUUUUCGAGAAGUAGCCUGCUGCUAUAUAUCGUAAAAUAACAAAGUUCAAAUUCGACACUCAGCGGCUGUGUUUCAAAUCACACCCUACUCCCUCAUUCACUAUUCCCUACAUGAGUUUACUAAUAUAGUCCACCUGACAGAGAGAAUGAACACUAAUGAGUGAAUUCAGACACUGAUCAACAGCUGCUGUUAAUGAGUAGAAUCACUGAAGAAAAAAAAAACAUAACAAGACAAACACAUGAAAUACAACUGACUUCAGCCACAGCCUUAGAUGAAAUCAACUGAAGAUUUAAACGAUCAACAAACAGCUUCACCAACUUCACACAUUACUAACCAGACUGACUUUAUUUCUAUCAGAUCAGAGAUCAGAGAUCAAAAAAUCUUAUUGAGAAUUACAGAGAUUUAGAUGAUAAUGUUACUGUUUCGUCUGACGUCACCAUUGUGGAGAUAAGUGUUUGCUUUAGUUGGGCUCCUGACCCUUGACUUUUGUACUUCAACUUUUGUUUCAUUGUUAUAUUUGUAUCUUUAUGAUACAUCUGUUACAGCAAUAUUAAUCUUCAUGGUCAAGUGACUAUGACGGUUUCUGUCAGGCAUGAUCUACUAGACUGACUUAUUGCUAUAAUAGUCAAUUCAUAAUUUGGUGUUGAAUUAUAUGAGUGAAUAACACUUUUCUUUUGUUUGUUUUUUCAAUUUUAUAAGAUUGAACGGUAAUGUGAUUAUCUGGAUAUGGAUUUAAUGACAUUUUGAGCUUUAAAUAUUUUGGGCAGCAGUCCUCACAACACUGAAAGAGAGACAUCAACAAUCAGCAUAUUAAUCUCAACAAUGGUGACAAUCAAAAGGUUUAUGAUGCAAUGCAUGCUGGGUACCAGCACAGGAUAAAACUCAUCCAUGACUCCCAGCAUGCAUUGGGGCAUGAAUAAAUUAUGCCCCUGAAUUGUUCACUUAUUUUCUUGAAUUCUUAUGUGCUUAUAAUUUUGCAUUUGUUUUAAGUUUUAGUAGCAUGUGUUGUGAUGUUCAGAACUGAUCUGUUCAUUUAUUUUGUGGAUUGUCACCAUUGUUGUGAUUCAUACGCUGAUUCUUGAUGUUUCUGUCUAAAUUUUGAGUGAAAUUUUCUUAACAAAUUUUCUUAACAGUCUUUUAUAACUUAUGGCUCAGAAGUGUUCAUUCUUAUGCUGUAAUAUCAAUAUUCAAUAAGAGAAGAGACACGGGAUUAGAUCAGAAAUAAUAGUGUUUGUUCUUGUCAAUAUAUAAACAACAAUAUCAGAUUUUUUUUUCUUCUGUGUACUUUUGUUUUGCUAUAACAAGUUCCAAAGACGCAUUGUUAAAGCAUGUUAAAAAAAAACUUAGUUGUUGAAAAGUCAUGUUCAAGAGCCCAACUAAAGUAAACACUGAUCUCCAUCAUGGUAGUGAAAAAAACACCUAAACCUAUUUAACUCUCCAUAAGUUCUUCUGUAGACAUCUGACAGAAAUAAAGUCAGUCUGGUUAGUAAUGUGAAUCUGGUGAAGCUGUUUUAAUAGUUGUUUAAUCAGAUCUUGAGAGAUUUGAUGUAUUCUUUUAUUCAGUUGAUUUCAUCUAAGGCUGUGGCUGAAGUCAUUUGUAGAUCUUGUGUUUCUCUUUCCUUCAGUGAUUCUGCAGGUGUUUAUACUAAUGCUCAAUCAUCAAUUAAUCACCGAAUUAUCUCAUUAACUUCACUGAUUCAGUGUUACUCUAACACUCUGUAGUGUGCACACAUUAUAAGUGUUCAUUUAAAACUGAGGAUUUUCUUGUGGGGUUUAAAGGGUUAAAGAUUUCAGAUGAAGAAAAAACAGCAUGAAACAUAAUUUAACAGUAAUAAACUGUAAUUAAUUUACAGGAAACAAACUGUAGAAAAACAGUUAUUUACUGGCGCCCCUGCUGCCAGUAAAAAACUGUUUUUCAACUGUUUCUUGCCGUAAAUUAAUGGUUGCCAGCAAAAAAAGUGUUUUUCUACAGUUUGUUGCCGUUAAGUCAAGGAAAAACAGUAAUAUACUGUAAAAUGUAAACGUCAGAUUUACCAAAUGAAAAAAAAGUUAAUUUAACUAAAAUAUUUGUGAACAUCCAUAGAAAAAAAACUAGGCAAAGUCAUACACUGAUAAUGAAAGUAAAUACUGAACUUGACUGUAUUAAUGUGUGUUUGCACAAGAGAAAUAGUUUAAUGUAGUUUUGUUGUUCACCAUUGUGCUGGAGAGUAGAGCCUUUGCUUCAGUCAAUGAUGAGCCACAAUUUCUGAUUUUCAGCUGCUUUAUGUAAAGGCAGUAAAUGUGGAGUCGCUGAUACAGUGAUGAUCUCUGCGUUAAGUACUUCAGCAUAUACAUGUGUGCUAUAGCUGACAAUGAGCUGCAGUGAUUUGAGUAAAAGUCAUGUAUUUAGUUACUUUAUUCCUGCACAUUAAGUGUAAGAAAUAUUCCUUCUCAGUGGACUCAAAUGAAAUAAGUUCAUAGUACUAACAUCGUAGGAAUGCUAGUUUUAAAAACUCGAACUGUUUGAAGCAGUGGGAGUGGAGUUAAUUUCUAUGGUAGAAUUUACGGUAAAAUACUGUUAAAAAAUAAAAGUGGUAAAUUAAUGGUUAAGAGCUGUAAAUUAACAGUACUUUACUGGCGCCCCUGCUGCCAGAAAAUUACUGUUAUUUAACGGCAAUUUUUUUUAUAGUGUAGCCUGUCUUCUCCUAAAAAAAAUACCAAAUUAUAUGUUCAUUUGAGAGAUUUGUUAACAUAAUUUAGUUUUAUAUUUUUUCCCUACGUCUCUGCAUGAUGGUUGCACCACAUGACUUUGAUUUGGCAGACAAAGGUUUUCAAUUAUUAAUAAACAGUAAAAAAGGAAAAAAAAAAAAAUUCUAAAAAAUAAUGAUACAUGAUACCAAAAUAAUUAAUUAGGGUUUCAUUUGAAUAAUUUAUAAUAUCAUGAGGACAGUUGCAUUACCCUGAUAUUUUUAACAUUUCCAACCAAAAAAACAAACAAAAAAACAUUAAGGUGAUUUUUAACUUUGAAAGAAAAUUAAAACACACUAAUGAAGGUGUAUCCAGGUCAUUAUGUGGAUGAAUCACAUUUUUUUUUUUACGUAUAUGUUUUAAUAAAAUAAUAAAUAAUAAAAAAAAUAUAUAUAUAUACAUCUGCACCAGAAUCUUUAGAUUAUUUUCAAGCCGUUAAAACCCUUAAUUGAUUGACAACUUUUCUGAAUAAUGCAGGGGAAGUGUAUGCGCCUAAACACCUUACACCUCUACCUUCUGUUGCACUGUAUGUAAAUGAGUAUAUGAUUCAUAAUUAAUCUUAGUGUAGGGCGUCCUGUUGGAAUAUAAUAGCGUAAGGAAACUGCUCUUCUGCAGUAUCAGUGUGGCAGCCCUGCGGUGCUGAAACUCUGUCACAUUACCGUCUCUCUCGCUCUCGAAGCUCCCAGGCCAGCUCUGUGCUCUCCGUAUUCAACAUAAAGUGCUGUGACACGCUGCUCUCCACCUCUACCUGCAGUUAUAUUUGGGCUUAUUCUGGUGUGCGCGGUCACUUCUCAAAUACUAUUUGUGAAAAAGAAUAUUAACCCACAUAAGUGAUUGUUUUUGAGUAAGCACUGAGAGUCUAUUUGCGACGGAUUGGAGAAGGUCCAGACAAACCAAAGCUCCAUCCAUGUAAGGACCAGAUUGCACUCGACUUUUUCCCAGGUUAACACCGAAUGUUAUUAAAGCAAGUUGACCGCAGGGUCAACACAAGAGCAGGCCAUGAAAACAAACAAUUAAUUUGGCAUGGAGGUGUAAUGGGAUGAUCUCCCGGCAGGGCCGGAUCCAUUGUUCGGCU
ensembl:lncRNA